GACGCUGUCUGCUGCCACAGGGAGAGAUCCGGAGGGGCCUACUGAAGUGUGUCUUAAUAUUAUGUAUAGCUAGUGGCACUGCUCUACCCGUUCAUAUUCAUUUACAUUCUUGAGUGGAAUUUGGAGUUUGACAUGUACACUGAAGUGAUGAGCAUAGAUAAUGGACAAACUAGCACAUUCUUGUCCUUCAACAGAACAUGGUUGGGCAUCACCAAGAGGAGGGUCCAUCAACUUCUAGAGCACAGCUUGACACAUUGCCGGUAAAAGAGUUGUACAGGGUGCACCUAACCCUAAACCAUUCAAAAAACCGAGAAAGAAAUGGUGUACCUGGACCGGCAAAUCAGAAAAACAGACUUGUAAAUUCUAUUACUUGAACGCCAGUUGAGGUGGGUGCAUUGUCAUGGUGAAACAGGUGAAUAUGUGAAAUAUGUUAAUAGUUGGAACUAUAUUACAAAUCCUGACUGUUGCUUUUGUACUUUUAGAGAAUAAAGAAGAACCAAAUCACA